UCUACCUUUGCAAUCACCCAGGAAGUAUCACCCGCGAUACCAAAACAUAUCACAUAAGCAUGCCUCAUAUGUCUUGGUACCCCAUUAGUGGUCAAUAAAAUAUUUAUAAGAAAAACUCAAUUUGGAAUCAUGUUUCACAUGCAGAAUUUUCAACCAUGAUCACAUGUCGUGUAUACAGAUGAAAAUGCUCAUAAAUGAUAUACUUAAUAAAAAUAGAUGUCAAUAGGUUCCCCAACGUCAUACUCAACGAUCAUAACCAUCAUAUGAUGUGUAAUAAACCUCUUAUCAAAGUUAUGUAACUAUUACAACAUUACCAUAUCACAAAUACUAGGCUCUUGCAUCGUAGUUGCAAAUGGAUUUUUACUUACCUUUCGUCUUUGUGUGUGCAAGCUCCUGUGCAGUGUAUAUCAAUUUCUUUGUUGCUCAACGUCACAAAAUCACGUGCAUUACCAUCUAAUAUUAAAGACAAUCCUCCAUUUAAUAACCUUAACACACACAAUCCCAAAAUACAUCCAUUCAUGCCAAAACAAUUUAGACGAAAUCAUUAUUUCAAGUUACUGAUGGCAUUACAAACUAAUCCCAUAAGUCUCGCUAUUUCUUGAGUCCAAUUAUGAAUGUCAGCGUCAUCCAAUAGUUUUCAUUAACCUAGUACUCCUUAGAUUCUAUUUUAUAGGUCCAAGAGACCAAUAAUGAACUUAUAAAUGUUGAAAUCACAUUAAAUACCCAAAUGGACAGAAUCUGUUUUCAGAUUUUCAUUACCGUCCAAUUAUUUUUUUCUAAUGCUUUUUCUCAUCCUUAACUCUAUCCAACGACUCCCAAAUUCUUACCACCCACCUAUAAAAUAUAUUUGAAGAUAAUCAGGUCAUAAGGUUGUGACAAAUGAAGGAUUUUGAGCUUCAAAAACAGUCCAUUUUCCACUACACAAAAUCUAGCAGUUUUAUUUUCCUCGCGAUAGUUUUCGGUUUCCAUUGUAUUAGUAUGAUACCAAUAGAAUUAUGAGCCAUUUAAAAUCAUUUCUACACUUCAUACUUACAUAUAAAAAUGUUCAUAUUGAUAGAUAUAAGUUACACACUAAGUAUCAUCCCAAAAUCAAAGUAUAAACCACUCAAAUCCAGCAACCUGCAUCUACCCAGGUUGUUUUCCCUCAAGUUCUUGUAAUUAAUCUCCCUUAUUUUGCCAUCAUAAAAUUAUCCAAAACCUCCCACAUAAUUUCAAGCAAGUUUAUAGUUUGAAUAGGUUAUAAAACACCCAAAAGAACUAAGGAAAAAAAAUUCAAAACCGUGAAUUGAACUAACCUGCUUAAAUUGCAAUUCCAGUUUCUUAUUUUUCUAUUUCUCUUUACUUCCUUUGCUUUCUGUUUCUCUUGGGGUCACUUGAGGAUAAAUUUGGAAGGUUAAAUGUAUUAUUUAAGAUAUGUAUAAGUAUUCUUAAGGACUGGGGUCGUGAGUAUUGUUUAAGGGUGAAGAAAAAUGUGAACAAAGGACAAGUAUCCUUAAGCAUGAGCAGUCCAAGCAUGAUGUGUCUUCUUUGCAGCAAUACUUGACUUUCAACCAUUAUAUAUUUGGAUCCAUUUGUGACUUUUAAGAUAUAUAUUCAUCCUAUAUUAAGUUCUUAGGGAGUAGACAUUAGAUUGAUGCCUUAAGGUUGAAGAAAUUGAUUGUUAAAAUAACAAACAUCCCAAGCACGAGGUGUUCAAGAAUGAGGUGGUCACUUGUAGCAUAAUAUGAUUUUAUAUCUAUCUUUGCAGGUACAAAUCAAGUAUCCUUGGAUAAUUUGACGUGUUUAAAUCCAUUUCACUUU
rnacentral:lncRNA from 1 species